rnacentral:rRNA from 1 species
UACGAAGGGGGAUAGCGAUGCUCGGAAUGACUGGGCGUAAAGGGCGCGUAGGCGGACUGCACAGUCAGGCGUGAAAUUCCUGGGCUUAACCUGAGGACUGCGUCUGAGACGUGUGAUCUAGAGUGAGGAAGAGGGUCGUGGAAUUUCCAGUGUAGAGGUGAAAUUCGUAGAUAGUGGAAAGAACACCGGUGGCGAAGGCGGCGACCUGGUCCUUGACUGACGCUGAGGCGCGAAAGCGUGGGGAGCAAAUAGG